AUGAAGGCUUCGAUGAAAAUGUUGGUCAGCAGUCGGUUGCCUCAACAGAUGAUGAAAAUGAUGGUCAACAGCCGGUUGCAUCAGAUGAGGAUUUUGAUGAGGUUCCAAAUGAUGAUGGUCAACAGCCGCAUGAUUUUGACGACGAUCCAAAAUAUCCUCCAAAUAAUGAUUCAAGUGAAUCUCCAAAUGGUGAUCCAAGUGAGGCUCCAAAUGAUGAUCCAAGUGAGGCUCCAAAUGAUGAUCCAAGUGAGGCUCCAAAUGGUGACCAACCUUAUGUUGUUGUGA
rnacentral:rRNA from 1 species